rnacentral:rRNA from 1 species
AUGAUAAGGUUAUUGAUUCCGACUGACAUUGCUGGUAGGCCAUGGAUUCUUCAUGUUUCCACACUGCUAAAAGCCACAGCGGGUAGGCCUAAAACUGAGAGGUAUAAAGGUUGCGGUGAGAAAAAAAGAAAAAGCGGCCAACACUUAUGCCCUAUUUGUAAGGACUAUGGGCAUCAUUGGCACAAAUUCAAGAAGGGUAACCCAGAUGACAUUGCUGCUAUUUUAGCUGUGAGAGGACCACCAAAGAAGAGGACAAAGACCACCAAAUCAGCUCAAUCAUCAAUUGUGCCUUGUGAGGAUGAUGCUCCAUCAGCCAUAUGUUUUCCGCCAAGCCAAAUCUUGGAGAAACAAAUAAGGAAAAAGGGAAAGGUGGUAAAUCUUGGACCAGGAGGAGCAAAAAGAUCAAGAACGCAACCCAUUUGUGGUGAACAUGAUGUCGCCAACAAGAAAACACAUGUUGCUGUGAACACACGAAGCAAACGAAGACUUAGUUUGUGA